UUCCGGUUGAUCCUGCCGGAGGUCACUGCUAUUGGGAUUCGACUAAGCCAUGCGAGUCGAGAGGGUUCGGCCCUCGGCUGACGGCUCAGUAACACGUGGAUAAUCUGCUCUUAGGUGGAGGAUACCCUCGGGAAACUGAGAAUAAUACUCCAUAGGUCUGGGAUGCUGGAAUGCACCUAGGCUCAAAGUUCCGGCGCCUAAGGAUGAGUCUGCGGGCUAUCAGGUUGUAGUCAGGGUAAUGACCUGACUAGCCUACGACGGAUAUGGGUUGUGAGAGCAAUAACCCAGAGAUGAUAUCUGAGACACGAUAUCAGGCCCUACGGGGCGCAGCAGGCGCGAAAACUUCACAAUGUGCGAAAGCACGAUGAGGGAAUCCCAAGUGCUUGCACGUAAGUGUAAGCUGUUUCUAUGUUUAAAAUGCAUAGAGAGUAAGAGCUGGGUAAGACGGGUGCCAGCCGCCGCGGUAAUACCUGCAGCUCAAGUGGUGGCCGCUAUUAUUGGGCCUAAAACGUCCGUAGCCAGUUUAAUAAAUGCCUGGGUAAAUCGUGUAGCUUAACUAUACGAAUUCCGGGUAGACUGCUAAGCUUGAGACCGGGAGAAGCUAGAGGUGCUCCUGGGGUAGAGGUGAAAUUCUGUAAUCCUAGGGGGACCACCAGUGGCGAAGGCGUCUAGCUAGAACGGGUCUGACGGUGAGGGACGAAGCCCUGGGGCGCAAACCGGAUUAGAUACCCGGGUAGUCCAGGGUGUAAACGCUGCUUGCUUGAUGUUGGUCGGGCUCCGAGCCCGAUUAGUGUCGGAGAGAAGUUGUUAAGCACGCUGCCUGGGAAGUACGGUCGCAAGACUGAAACUUAAAGGAAUUGGCGGGGGGAGCACAGCAACGGGUGGAGCGUGCGGUUUAAUUGGAUUCAACGCCGGA
rnacentral:rRNA from 1 species